rnacentral:rRNA from 1 species
GAGUUUGAUCAUGGCUCAGAUUGAACGCUGGCGGAAUGCUUUACACAUGCAAGUCGAACGGCAGCACGGGAGCUUGCUCCUGGUGGCGAGUGGCGAACGGGUGAGUAAUGCGUCGGAACGUACCGAGUAAAGGGGGAUAACGCACCGAAAGGUGUGCUAAUACCGCAUACGCCCCGAGGGGGAAAGCAGGGGAUCGUAAGACCUUGCGUUAUUCGAGCGGCCGACGUCUGAUUAGCUAGUUGGUGGGGUAAAGGCCUACCAAGGCGACGAUCAGUAGCGGGUCUGAGAGGAUGAUCCGCCACACUGGGACUGAGACACGGCCCAGACUCCUACGGGAGGCAGCAGUGGGGAAUUUUGGACAAUGGGGGCAACCCUGAUCCAGCCAUUCCGCGUGAGUGAAGAAGGCCUUCGGGUUGUAAAGCUCUUUCAGCCGGAACGAAACGGUACGCUCUAACAUAGCGUGCUAAUGACGGUACCGGCAGAAGAAGCACCGGCUAACUACGUGCCAGCAGCCGCGGUAAUACGUAGGGUGCGAGCGUUAAUCGGAAUUACUGGGCGUAAAGCGUGCGCAGGCGGAUUGUUAAGCAAGAUGUGAAAUCCCCGGGCUUAACCUGGGAAUGGCAUUUUGAACUGGCAGUCUAGAGUGUGUCAGAGGGGGGUGGAAUUC